UCUUCCCUGCAGUGGAGGGCAGGACACAUUCCAAUGGGGCAAAGCUCAAGGAACUGCGUUUUAGGUUGAAUGUCAGGAAGCACUUAUUGAUGAUUAGGACCCCUAGGAUAUGGAAUGGGGUUCCACAUCGAGGUGAGGCCAUUCAAGGA